GUUAAGGUGGCAGAGCCCGGUAAUUGCAAAAGACCUAAGCCCUUUAAACAGAGGUUCAAAUCCUCUCCUCAACU
rnacentral:tRNA from 1 species